rnacentral:rRNA from 1 species
AUUGAACGCUGGCGGCAUGCCUUACACAUGCAAGUCGAACGGUAACGGGCCUUCGGUUGCCGGCGAGUGGCGAACGGGUGGGUAAUACAUCGGAACGUGCCCGAUCGUUGGGGAUAACGAGGCGAAAGCUUUGCUAAUACCGCAUACGAUCUACGGAUGAGAUCCGGGGACCGCAAUGCCUUGCGCGGGCGGAGCGGCCUGUGGCCGAUGAGGUAGUUGGUGGGGUAGAAGCUUACCAAGCCGACGAUCUGUAGCUGGUCUGGGAGGAUGAUCAGCCACACUGGGACUGAGACACGGCACAGACUCCUACGGGAGGCAGCAGUGGGGAAUUUUGGACAGAGGGCGCAAGCCUGAUCCAGCCACGCCGCGCGCAGGAUGAAGGCCUGCGGGUUGUAAACUGCUUUUGUACGGAACGAAAAGCCUUCUUUUAAUACAGGAGGGUCAUGCCGGUACCGUAAGAAUAAGCACCGGCUAACUCCGU